rnacentral:lncRNA from 1 species
AAAUGGCAAUUCACUCCAAUAUUCUUGCCUGGGAAAUCCCAUGGACAGAGAAGUCUGGCAGACUAUACACCAUGGGGUAGCAAAGAGUCGCAUUGGACUGAGCAUCUAAACAGCAACAACAAUAUGUAUCUGUAUCUGUCUAGCCUGAAAAGAAAGGAUAUUAAUAAGCAGGAUCCCAGUUAUUCCAGCCGGGAAUUUUAUAACAUCACCUCCCUUAAACCUCCUAGACAAUCACAUGAGGAAACGGGGGAUUUGCCAAGAUCUGGCAGCUGAUGAAAUCAGGUGGGAUCAAAUCUAGAUCUGAUGAGCCAGAAGCCAGUAUUCUCAGCUGACUCUGUUCCACCAACUUCCUGGUCAUACUCAAAGUGGGAAAAAGAAAGGUUUCAUGAAGAUCUUCAGAAAGAAUAGAAGGCUAUUGCAUCUGAUUGGUAUCAGCCUUUGCAAGUGGAGAGCACACUUUCUGGGAGAAAAGUCAUUCUCCACGGCACAUCACUCCCUGAGAACAACUGGUUACCUCCUUCAGAGGGAGGCGUGUGAUUCCUGCUGGCAGGGUGAAGCACCUGGCUUCAGGAAGGAUGAGACAUUCGGAGAUGUAAUCCAGUUCAUCCUAAAGACCUGGGCGGGGCAGCCUUUAGAAGGCCGUUCCUUGCUCCACAAGCCCCAAGGAUUUGAAUGCCAGCCAGAAUGACGCCAAGGAUCCUUCCUCUUUCCUUAUGGCAGGGACCGGCUUCCUGGCUGGAUGUUUGUCAUCCACACCUGCAGACCUUAGGAAACCUAGGGUGACCUCAGUAGGUGCAGCCUUGACUUCCUUCCCACCACCACCCCUGAGAUGUGGGAACUGAAUGAAAAUCCACACUGGGACCAUCCGCUCAAGCAAACGGGUCAGGGUGGAGAACUUCCUUGCUUUAUGGUCAGCAAAUCAGGUGUUGGGCUGCCUCCUGGGACAUCUGAUCAAAGGACAAGACCAUCCAGGCAGUGGGUCAGGCUGUUUUCUUGCAGGAUGGUGUGGUGGGGCUUCUAUUUUGUGGCUCAUCCGGAAGCAGAUGGUAUUUAUGUAUUUAUUUAGGCUGUUCCAGGUCUUUGUUCCAGCCUGCGGGCUUCUCUAGUUGCGGCUCAGUCGCCUUGAGACAUGUGAGAUCUUUCCAGACCAGGAAUCAGACUCAUGCCCCUUGCAUUGGAAGUCGGAUUCUUAACCACUGGACUACCAGGGAAGUCCCAGAUGGUUCUGAUUCUCUCGUGAUACUCCCAGAGCCUGUGCUAGAGCAAGGAAGCCACCCCGUUGGGUUCUUGGACGUUGGAUUAAGCCAGACAAUCAGACAGCCGCCUUUGCGCACUGUGCUUUCUUAGCCUCUCCUAAAAGGGCCCCCUUUUGCAUUAGUGAACACUAUGCCAGCUGUAGGACCAUUUCUGUGAUACCACUAAGCGCUAAAUUGGUUCAGUCGCAUCCCACUCUUUGCAGCCUUAUGGACUGUAGCCCACCAGCCUCUUCUGCCCGUGAGAUUCUCCAGGUACAAGUACGGGAGUGGGUUGCCAUUUCUUCCUUGAGGCGGCCUUCCUGACUCAGGGAUCAAACUCCUGUCUCUUAUGUCUCCUGCAUCGGCAGACCGGUGCUUUACCACCAAUACCACCUGGGAAGCUGGUGCUACUAAGGAUGUGGCCCAAUCCAGCUGACAGCAUUGAUCCCCUUUUUCAGGCCUCUUAAGAGAGAUUCCUCUGGGUUUGAAUAACCAGAAAAAUGUGUGUUUCUCCUGAAUGUGAGCCUGUUUUCUUCUCCGGGCAUAAUGAAUCUGGUAACUUACAGAAUUUCCCUCUUUACGCUGGGUGUUGGGAAAUCCAAAGCUAAAUAGGUUGCCUACUUCCAACAACUUGCACAGUCCCACAGGGCAUGUAUCGUCUGUACACUCUCUGCACUUGUGUUCGUCCGGUUUUCCUACCCUUGCUUUCUUUUUGCCCUGAUUGCUUCAUCUCUUAGUUGUUGUUGAUCACAUUGGAUAUAUUCUAAAGGUCAGAGUAGGCCUACUAAAAUCACAAAUGACUCCCAAAAUCUCAAAGCAGUAAGAGAGGAUGACCUCUGACUUGGGCUUCACAGGUGGCUUAGUGGUAAAGAAUCCACCUGACAAUGCAAGGAGACAUAGGAGGCAUGGGUUUGAUCCCUGGGUACUGAAGAUCCCCCCGGAAAAGGAAAUGGCAACACCCCCCAGUAUUCUUGCCUGGGAAAUCCCAUAGACAGAGAAGACUGGUAUGCUACAGUCCACGGGGUUACAGAGUGAGACAUGACUGAGCAAUUGGGCACACACACACACGGCCUGUCACUUGACUUAAGUCUAAUGCAGCUAUUAUGUGGUGAUUUCCCUCCUCAGGAACCCAAGUCCUUUUCACCAAGAGGUAGAAAGAUAGGAAGCAUAUCAGAAAAUUGACUGCUCCAACCUGGAAAGCACACACCAUUUCUUUGCACUUGCCAUUGGCCAACACUAGUCACACAGAUGCAAAAUUUCUUGGAAAUAUAUUUCCCAGUUGGGCACACUCUUCCUCCAAGCAACUCUAUAUGGGAAGGAACAUGAAUCCUUGAUGGCGGGCUCUGCUUUCUCUGCCACACUCCCUAAACUGUUCUUGGAAUAAGAAAAUUAAACUAACUCAAUAGACUCUAGAUAAAAAGGAAAUUUCUCCUUGCCAAAGAACCAAUCACUCGAAAAGUAACCAGAAUUGGUGAAGAUCUGUGGCUGGACUCUAUGCUGGGUAUUGUAGGUGACGCAAAAAAGGUAAGUUGUACAGUUCUCGCCUUCAAGCAGAUUACAGUGUUUCACGUACACCUUCUACCCUUCCACUUCCAUGGUUAGGUAGAGAUGUAGCCGCCCUCAAAAUCAUUCUCUGGUAGAGACAUAAUUCUACCAGAUAUCUUUCCUGUCCUCAUCAAGUUCUGUAAAGAGAAGAGUCAGACUUGACAAGGAGCUAGCUUGUUUUGCGGCAUAAACUAAAGGCCUUCUGAAGCCACCUUUAGGGCAGCCAGUGAGAAGCAAGGAGGCGGGCACUCUUCAUUUCUGGCCUUGGGUAAAGGGUUUAAUUUCCUCUUGCCUGGAUUCCUAACCUGUAAAUUGGAGAUAAUGAUGUUUGCCUACCUUGCCCUCAGAAUUAAUUAGUGGUUGUGUUGCGCUUUUUGUCUAUAGAUGAAAGGCUUUCAUGUAAACAUCAUCACCAUCAUCAUCAUGACCAUUAUUACCUUGGGUCCUGAAGAUAAAUUGAUGGAAUUCCCACACAAAGUUUCCAGGAGACUUGACCUUUCUAACCUUUCAGUCUAAUCCUCUGCACUUUUAAAAAGAACUGACCCACUUUCCCCCUCUUUCUGACCUUGCUGUCAAGGACUGAGAAAAUGAGAGCUAGUCAUCAUUUCUUAGAGACCUGUGUUUCACACACCCCAACUUGACGAUGACUUUCUCCCAGCAAUCAAGACUAUACCAUUUCAACCACUCCCUGAAUCCAGAUGUAAGAGAUAGAUCAGAAGACAAGGGAAGGGAAAACACUUAAAGAAACUUUUUAAAACAUCUCGGAACUCUUCAAAAAAUUAUUUCAUUUUUUUUUCUCCCAGGAUAUCUAACUAUAUAUAUUGACCUUUUCUAUUUACUUUUCUAUUUACAUUAUAAGUAUUAUUUCCUUUCUUCCAGGUAGCUCAGUGGUAAAGAAUCUUCCUGGCAAUGCAGGAGAGGCAGGUUCAAUCCCUGGGUCGGGAAGAUCCCCUGGAGGAGNNNNNNNNNNNNNNNNNNNNNNNNNNNNNNNNNNNNNNNNNNNNNNNNNNNNNNNNNNNNNNNNNNNNNNNNNNNNNNNNNNNNNNNNNNNNNNNNNNNUCCCCUGGAGGAGGGCAUGGCAACCCACUCCAGUAUUCUUGCCUGGAUAAACCCAUGACAGAGAAGGCUGAUAAGCUACAGUUCACGGGGUUGCAAAGAACCAGACAUGACUGGGCACGCAUGCAGAGGCACAAUUAUUUCCUUUGAACUUAGUACCAUGGGCGGGAUCCCAAGUUCUAGGGAGCUUGUCUGUCUCUGAACUCAGUAAAAGGUCAAACUCUGACGUGAAAACUGGAGUCCUUCCAGGGAGAUUGACAAGGCUUUGGACAACAUCCUACUUUUGGAAGUGGGAGCUAGAAGCAGAGGUGGUAUGGGUGAUGAAGUGAUAGGAACAGCACCAAGAAAAUAGGGUCAGGUUAUCAGAGGAAAUCCUGAAGUUUCCUUGGUACCUAAAUGUAGUGUUCCUGAGCCAGUACUCAGUUGGCAUAACCCAAUGGGGACUUAUACACAGUCCCAGUUCCCAGGACUAGAUUAAUUGGGGUCUUGAUAUUUCUGGGUCACCAAUAAAAUAGUUUGCUAAAGCAGUGUAAACCCUUCCACUUAUCACUGGUGCUGGCACUUCCUCAUUCUAAAUGAGCCCUGAAAUGUGAAAGCUGGUCGGGAUUGGAAGAGCUGGAAUGAGUCAGCUACCCCUGUGAGUCCAGCCCCAGCUUGCCUUGUUUCCAGUGACAAGUUGUACAAGGGGAUUAAAGUUUUGAUUCUAAGUUCUUGGUGACUCAUAUGCUUAGUCAGGCAGUAAUGAGCGUAGCAAAUAUGUUUAUGCCUUUUCCCGUGUGCUAGGCAUUGUUCUUCCAGUCCUUGGCAUGAAAUAAGUCAUUUAAACCACCCUAGGAAGCAAUUUCUAUUAUUACCCCUACUUUAGAGAUAAGGAAACAGAGGCAGAAAGGGUUUAACUGUCUUACGCAAUCUUUCAAGGCCAGGCAGAGGCGGAGCCAGUCUUUGAACCCAAGCUAUCUAUACUCGGAACCCCUAAACUACAGUGACUCUGCUGCUGCUAAGUCGCUUCAGUCAUGUCUGACUCUGUGCGACCCCANNNNNNNNNNNNNNNNNNNNNNNNNNNNNNNNNGGAUUCUCCAGGCAAGAAUACUGGAGUGGGUUGCCAUUUCCUUCUCUGACAAUGACUCUAUGAGUGUUCUUUUCUGUGUUGUGUAGCAUUACUCUGCAUUAGAAAGUCAGUCCCUAUUCCUGGACUGAAUUUAAACGAUCUGUUUUUUUCCGCAAAUUGGAAUUUUCAUGCCUACAGAAGACCUGCAAAUACUGGGUUGGCCAAAAUGUUUGAUUCUUUUGGCCAACCCUGUAUGAUCAACCACAAAGGAGGGAAAAGGCAGAGCCCAGCAGAAUGGAUGCUACCUAGUGACCACGUGGUACAGAUAGAAACACACGCUGAGGGUGAAAGGAGGGUACUGAGGGCAUGGGUUCAGUCCUUCCAUGGCCAAGACAGGGUAUGGGUUUGGUUUUUUUUUGAUUAAAAACAAAACAAAACAAAAAAACACUCUAAACCAAGAUGCAGAUAUCUGUUGCUGAUGAGAAAAUCUCUCAGAAAGUAGAAGAGACAAGAAGACCUUUUAACAAAUUUUGCUGGAAUAACUGGAGAUCCACAGGCAAAAAAAAAAAAAACACCCCAAAUUAAUUUAAGCAUGCUGCUGCUGGUAAGUCGCUUCAGUCGUGUCUGACUCUGUGCGACCCAUAGAUGGCACCGUACCAGGCUCCCCCGUCCCUGGGAUUCUCCAGGCAAGAACACUGGAGU